rnacentral:rRNA from 1 species
CACGUAGGCGGUCUUGUAAGUCAUCUGUGAAAUCCCGGAGCUCAACUCCGGGCCUGCAGUUGAUACUGCAUGACUAGAGCUCGGUAGAGGCGAGUGGAAUUCCCGGUGUAGCGGUGGAAUGCGUAGAUAUCGGGAGGAACACCAGUGGCGAAGGCGGCUCGCUGGGCCGUUGCUGACGCUGAGGUGCGAAAGCGUGGGAGCAAACA